CCUCUGACUGUCAGCCUCGCUUCUUGCAGCUGCAGGCCGCGGGGUAGCUGAGGGUGGAGCGGUUCACUGGUUCCCCUGAGCAGAGGAUGCGGAAGGCGCUGAAACUAGGAAGGGACCGGCCCUCCUCGCCCCACCCGGACCCGGAACUGGCGCACUGGACGAGGCCCGGCCCCCAAAGAGCGAGGAGAACCUGCAGGGGGACCUGGCUCAGCCGCCCCUGUUGCUGAACACCAGCUAUCACGACCAGGCGGGCUGCCUUUAGGUACCAAAAGAUGACAGGUGGAUAAGCCAUAAGGAUCUCCUGCCCGCACUUCAUAGCUACCAGAGUAGUUGUAGGAAGGCAAGGGGGUAAAAUGAUUAGAACAUUUGGAUUCAAUAAAUGCUGGCUGUUCCAUAUACUUUUUUUUUUUUUACAUCAUCUGCAGAGAAUCAGCCCUCUUCCCUAAUGAGUCGCUCUCUCGAACCAUAUAGUGACUCAGAAAUCCCUUUGUUUUCAGGUCUGAAGAUUGAACAUAGAGUCUCAGGCAUACUAGGCUAAUGCUCUUCCAUUGAAUCGCAGCCCCAACCAAAAAUUGGCUGUUCAAAAGAGUAAAUUUUGUUUUGUUAUCUGAAGGAACUCAAGAGACCUAGAGUUGCACAUUUUGCUUAUAAUAAUCCCCUAUACAGCUUGCUCCCCCCACCCCCGUUUAGAGUCAUAUCAGGUCAUGAGAAGGGGUCAUAGAACUUCAUCUGAGGCAAACUGUGCCCAAGGCCUCUGAGCAUGAUCAUAGUCAAGUGAAAGCUUGCAGGGACAGCCACCAGCAGAGAAAGCAUCCAGAACCAAGUGAAAGAUUCUGAGUAGCCUCAGAAGACCAGAAGACCAGCACACAACACCCUCCUUCAUCACAGCCCUUUACACACAGCAGUUGCCCAUGAGCAUCUCCUGAGUUGAGGCAGGUUGGGAAGGAAGCCCUGAGCUUAUCCCUGCACGUGGAGAUGGGCUGCUCAUUGACUGGUACAGGACAUGUCUGAGCAUUCACUACUCAGAACUGCCCCAUAAGCUGGCCUUCCUUCUUCAGUCACGUCUCAUGGCUGAGGCAUCGGGCUUAGUGAGUGCAGUUAUUCCAGGAACUGGGGCUCGCUUAGCUCCUGAGCCACCUCCCAUUCACAAGCCUGGACCUGCUUCCUGAGCUCACAAGAUGGGCUGUUAUCGGUAUGAAAAUGGCGUGUCUACCACAGGCUGCUGUGUUAGAACACUGGCUCCUCCGGUAGUGGUGCUGGUGGAGGUGGGCCCCUGAGGACAGGCCCUACCUCUAGUGCUGUCUCAGCUUUCACUGCCACGCCUUUCCCCAUGAAGGAUUGUACCCCAGAUCCUUCUCCCUGUAAUAGCUUCUGUCAGACAUUGAGUCAUGAUGAAAACUGUUUAAAGCAUGGUCUUCUCAAGUUACUAAAGUAGUUCAGAUAUAUGUAUGUACACAUAUAUGUAUGUGUGUACAUGUGCAUGAGUGUAUACAUGCACAUAUGUAUGCAUGUAUGCAUGCAUGCAUAUAUGUAUCUAUAUUCUGUAGUGCUGGAUAGCAUACCUAGGGUUUCAUGGGUGCUCAGGAAAUACUGAGACGACCCCCAGUCUCUGCUUUUAUUUUUGUUUUAAGAUAGCUAUAGCCCUGGGGCUGGGGAUUUAGCUCAGUGGUAGAGUGCUUACCUAGGAAGCGCAAGGCCCUGGGUUCGGUCCCCAGCUCCGAAAAAAAGAACCAAAAAAAAAAAAAAAAAAGAUAGCUAUAGCCCUAAAUUGAGUGCUACUGGCUGUCUUAGGGUUUACUGCUGUGAACAGACACCAUGACCAAGGCAAGUCCUACAAACAACAACAUUUAACUGGGGCUGGCUUACAGGUUCAGAGGUUUAGUUCAUUAUCAAGGUGGGAGCAUGGCAACAUCCAGGCAGGCAUGGUGCAGGAGGAGCUGAGAGUUCUACAUCUUCAUCUGAAGGCUGCUAGCAGAAUACUGACUUCCAAGUAGCUAGGAUGAGAGUUUUAUAGCCCACACCCACAGUGACACACCUACUCCAACAAGGCCACACCUCCUAAUGGUGCCACUCCCUGGGCAGAGCAUAUACAAACCAUCAUAGUGGCCCACACCUUUAAUUUCAGCACUCAGGAAGCAGAGGCAGGUAGAUAGAGUUUAAAAAAGAAACAUGCUUGCUCCAGAAAUUCUGGGUAAACUUCUGGGGCUGGGGGUGUAGAUCCGUUGGUAAGGGUGCCAGCCUGCUGUGCAUGAAGGCCCUGGGACCAGUCUCCAGCACCAAACAGAACUGAGCAUGAUGUGCCUGUCAUGCCAGCACUGGAGAAGUGGAGGCAGGAGGAUCAUCAGUUCAAGGUCAUCCUUAAAUACAGAGCAAGUUCAAGACCAGCAUAGAAUUUUAAAAUAUUUUUUUUAGAAUUUUUUAAAAAUUAUAUUUGUUUGUGUGGGGGUAUAUGCACAUGAGUGCAGGUGUUCACAGAGUUUGGAAGUGGACAUCAGAUCCUGUGUAACUCCAGAUCCAGGCAGCUGUGAGCUAUUGUGGGAGUGCUGGGAACUGAACUCAGGUCCUCUGGAAGAGCACCAAAUGCUCUUAAAUGCUGAACCAUCUCUCUAGCCCCAGAUUUUGUAAAGACGGGUAUACCAAAGACUAAAAGAGGCUUCUGAGUCUCAGAAAUUUCUAUUCAUUGGGACAUAAAGUAGGAUUGGAUGCUGGAGGGUGGGGGGAAGAGAACACACUGACUUCUUUUGAAGACGGAAAACUGUGGUUUGUAAUAAAAGAGGCCGCCUUGACUCAGAGCUUAGGUCAGUCUUUCCCACCACUCAGCAUCCUGACAGACUUGUAGCCAUGUAGGGGAGGAGGCCAGAGCACUGGCCACCCAUCUGUGUGAUACAGCCCGAGGCUGCGGUGCCAAGAGGAUCCUUCACUCUGAGGUUUGUCACAGUCAUCUUGGGGUUUUUGUUUUGAUUUUUUAAUAGGUACCUGGGAGAACUCCCAGCUGUGUUCUGCUGGACCAGAAGUGUUUGUAUCCUGUCCAUCUGGGGGAUCUUGAUCAGAGAUGUAGAAAGGCUUCUCACAUGCGGGCCAGCUGUUGGGAGUUUUUAUACGCACAUCUGGGGAGAAUUCACGUCCAGUGAAUUAAGCUGGCCAGCCAGCCAGCCACUCAGGUUGGGCUGGACUGUACAAUAUACCCAACGGCCAGUUCUCACCUUGGGCUCGGGAUAAGUAGCCCCUGUCUUUCCAGGCGGUAUUCUGCAACACACCCUCAAAAGCUGGGCUUGGAGCCUCCUCCUGUUGUGUGUUCCCAUGGAAACCAUGCACUUUGUAUACCUUAUCUCUUCCUUUGCCCUUAGCUUUUGUCCCAUGGCUCGUAACUGCUUAAGGUAGGGCUCGUGAGUCACUCCCUAACCAUUAGAUCCUGAGAUACAAUCUAGUGCCACAAAUGGAGCCUGUCAAAUGGUGACCCAGAAAACUCCAGUCAUCCAGGACAUAAACUGUGGUCAGUUCCAACUCCUCCCAUCCCUCCUUCAGAUUAGACAUUGCAAUGGUCCCAGUGAAACACCAGAUGCAGAGCUUACCCAAGAUCUGAUGAAGGAACUGAACGGAGAGCAUAAUCUGGAGAAAGGCUGGGACAAAUGGAGAGGGACAGACCUAUGGUCCCAGCUGCUGGGGACUGAGGCUGGAGGACCACUAAAGUGCUUGAGUUCAGGGCCAGCCUGGGCAGCAUAGAAAGAUGCUGUCGGGCUGGAGAGAUGGCUCAGUGGUUAAGAGCGAUGACUGCUCUUCCAGAGGUCCUGAGUUCAAUUUCCCAGCAACCACAUGGUGGCUCACAACCAUCUGUAAUGGGAUCCGAUGCCCUCUUCUGGUGUGUCUGAAGACAGCAACAAUGUACUGAUAGAAAUAUAAUAAAUCUUUUUAAAAAAAAAAGAAAGAAAGAUGCUAGCUCUAAGAUAAAAGAGCAACAACAGGGCUGGAGAGAUGGCUCAAUGGUUAAGAGCACUGACUGCUCUUCCAGAGGUCCUGAGUUCAAGUCCCAGCAACCACAUGGUGGCUCACAACCAUCUGUAAUGAGAUCUGGUGCCCUCUCCUGGCCUGUAAUCACAUAUGCAGGCAGAAUGCUGUACAUAAAAUAAAUAAAUCUUAAAAAAAAAAAAAAAAAAAAAAAAGAAAGAAAGAAAAGAGCAACAACAACACAGUGCAAACGAGGCAUAGGUAGGCAGCUCUCUUGACUUCAAGCCAGCCUGACCUACAUGGCAAGUUCCAGGCCAACCAGAACUACAAAAUGAUUUUCCGUCUUCAAAUAAAAGCACCAGACCUGGGUUCGGCAUUUAGUCUCCAGCACCCCACCACGUUCUGUAACUCCAGUUCCAGAGGAUUUAAAGUCUUCUUUGAGCCUCCAUGGGCAUUGCAUGCUCAUGGUGCAAGCAGGGGUGCACACACGCACACGCAUACAGAAACACCUUAAACAGUAAAAUUAAAAAUAUAAAAUAUAUCAGUCUAAAAUAUAUCAAAAGAACCAACGGGACACACAGUGUAAGCUGGCCUUUGUUGAGGUUUUCAACUUCUAGGACCAGACUAGAUGGUCACUGUUGUUACAAAGAUCCAGACUGAAGUAAAAAUAGUUACACGGAGAGCUGGGGAUGUAGUCAAAUUAGUACAGUGCUUGCCUAACACACAUAAAGCCCCAUGUUGGGACUGGUGGUUUAGCUCAGUGGUAGCUCGCUUGCCUAACAAGCACAAGGCCCUGGGUUCAGUCCUCAGCUGUGGAAAAAACAAAAGACAAAAUAACAAUAAAGCCCCAAGUUUGAUUCUCGGCAUUAUGUGUAUCAGGCACGGAGGUAUAUCAGCCCUGUGUGUAUCAGGCACAGAGGCAUAUCAGCCCUAUAUGUGUCAGGCACGAAGGUAUAUCAGCCCUGUGUGUAUCGGGCACGGAUGUAUAUCAGCCCUGUGUGUAUCGGGCACGGAUGUAUAUCAGCCCUGUGUGUAUCGGGCACAGAGGUAUAUCAGCCCUGUGUGUAUCGGGCACAGAGGUAUAUCGGCCCUGUGUGUAUCAGGCACGGAGGUAUAUCAGCCCUAUAUGUGUCAGGCACGAAGGUAUAUCAGCCCUGUGUGUAUCAGGCACAGAGGCAUAUCAGCCCUAUAUGUGUCAGGCACGAAGGUAUAUCAGCCCUGUGUGUAUCGGGCACGGAUGUAUAUCAGCCCUGUGUGUAUCGGGCACGGAGGUAUAUCAGCCCUGUGUGUAUCGGGCACAGAGGUAUAUCAGCCCUGUGUGUAUCGGGCACAGAGGUAUAUCGGCCCUGUGUGUAUCAGGCACGGAGGUAUAUCAGCCCUAUAUGUGUCAGGCACGAAGGUAUAUCAGCCCUGUGUGUAUCGGGCACGGUGGUAUAUCAGCCCUGUGUGUGUCAGGCACAGAGGUAAUGGCUGCAAGCCCAGCACCCAAGAGGUAGAGGCAGGGGAUACAGAAGCUUAAAGCCAUUGGGAGUUCGAGGCCAGCCUGGGGUACAUGAAAAUGUUGGCAAAGAUGGAGAAGUAGUGAUGAACAUCUGGGCCAGCUGUUCUCCGCAGGUGGAAUGAAUCACUGAGUCACUGUACUGGUUUGUUUUGUCAACAGACACAAGCUGGGAUCAUCUGGGAAGACAGAACCUCAAAUGAGAAAUGCCCACCCCCAUCAGAUUGGCCUGUAGAUAAACCCUCGGACCAUCUUCUUGAUUACUGAUUGGUGUGGGAGGGCCUGACCCAUUGUGCGUGGUGCCAUCCCUAGGCAAGUGGCCCUGGGUGCUUUAAGAAAGCAGCCUGAGCAAGGCAGUAAGCAGUGUCCCCUUCAUGGCUUCUGUUUCCCUUCCUGACGCCCAGUACAUGCCUUGAGUUCCUUCCCCGAAUGCCCUCAGUGAUGACGUGUAAGCUAUAAGCUGAAAUAAACCCCUUCCCCCAA